UACGGGGGGGGCAAGCGUUGUUCGGAAUUACUGGGCGUAAAGGGCGCGUAGGCGGCCUGCUAAGUCACACGUGAAAUCCCUCGGCUCAACCGGGGAACUGCGUGUGAUACUGGCGGGCUUGAAUUCGGGAGAGGGAUGUGGAAUUCCAGGUGUAGCGGUGAAAUGCGUAGAUAUCUGGAGGAACACCGGUGGCGAAGGCGGCCUUCUGGACGGAUACUGACGCUGAGACGCGAAAGCGUGGGGAGCAAACAGG
rnacentral:rRNA from 1 species